rnacentral:rRNA from 1 species
UGCUUAACACAUGCAAGUCGAACGAGUAAGUGCUGUAGCAAUACAGAUUACUGCUAGUGGCAGACGGGUGAGUAAUAUAUGGGAAUCUGCCCUGGAGUUCGGGAUAACAGUUGGAAACGACUGCUAAUACCGAAUAUUGCCGAGAGGUGAAAGAAUUUCGCUCCAGGAUGAGCCCAUAUGGGAUUAGCUAGUUGGUAGGGUAAAAGCCUACCAAGGCUACGAUCCCUAGCUGGUCUUAGAGGACGAACAGCCACACUGGAACUGAGACACGGUCCAGACUCCUACGGGAGGCAGCAGUGGGGAAUAUUGGACAAUGGGCGAAAGCCUGAUCCAGCGACGCCGCGUGGGUGUUAAGGCCUUCGGGUUGUAAAGCCC